UUCUUUUGCUGUUCUAACAUCAGUUCUGAUUGGCAAAAUUGUUUUUUACAGAAGCUAGGAGGGGAGCAAAGGAGGUGCUGGGACUGAUGGAAGGGGAGCUGUUCAGGUGCUUGCUCGGUCAUCUGGUGAAGAUCAAGAUACCAUCCAUGUGCUGGAUAGGUCUCAGAUAGGUGGGCAUCAAGUUCAGCUUUCAUGGAGCCUACUCCUCAUCAGAACAAGCAGGUAGAAAGUGAUAAUAGAAAAGUGUGCCAAUCAAAGAGCUGUUGUGGGUUCCCAGUGACAAAAAAGAUGAGUCUUUAGAAGGACUUCUAGAGCAAAGUGUUACAGCAAGGUUUGUUGAAAAUUUAGGAGUUGGCACAAGAAUGGAAGAAGACGGAACAUAUCUACUAUGGUCUAUGCGAGAUUAUGCAAUGCAAUACAAGAAGGGGAGAAGAUGGGAACUCUGGAUUAUCGAAGUCAACAACAAUAACUUUUGAUGAAGUAGUACAACAAGGUUUUAGGCAUAUGCUGCACUUUCUUUUCUGCUCCAAUGCGAUGGUGACUGCGAUGGUGACGGAAGAAUCAUAGUUGUAAGCAAAAAAUUUAGUGGACAAUAUGAAUAUGCAUAUCUGAAAUUUGUGAUUCUUUUUUGUAUAGAUAGUCUUUUUGAAGGAGCUAUAACCUUGCUCUGCA